rnacentral:rRNA from 1 species
AUUGAACGCUGGCGGCAUGCUUUACACAUGCAAGUCGAACGGUAACAGGUUAAGCUGACGAGUGGCGAACGGGUGAGUAAUGCAUCGGAACGUGCCCGGUCGUGGGGGAUAACGCAGCGAAAGUUGCGCUAAUACCGCAUACGAUCUGAGGAGGAAAGCGGGGGACCGUAAGGCCUCGCGCGAUCGGAGCGGCCGAUGUCAGAUUAGGUAGUUGGUGGGGUAAAGGCUCACCAAGCCAACGAUCUGUAGCUGGUCUGAGAGGACGACCAGCCACACUGGGACUGAGACACGGCCCAGACUCCUACGGGAGGCAGCAGUGGGGAAUUUUGGACAAUGGGCGAAAGCCUGAUCCAGCAAUGCCGCGUGCAGGAAGAAGGCCUUCGGGUUGUAAACUGCUUUUGUACGGGGCGAAAAGGUCUCCUCUAAUACAGGGGGCUCAUGACGGUACCGUAAGAAUAAGCACCGGCUAACUACGUGCCAGCAGCCGCGGUAA